AAUACGAUUUUGGUUCGAGUGAUUCUAGUUCACUUUGAGAAUGAGCGCAGCUUGAGCAAGUUGAAGACACAUUCCACUGACUUCUUUAUUGGCGAUGUGAUUUUAAAUUAGACUGUCUCCGUAUAGUUAUUAAUAGCAUUCAUUUUUAUGAGGUAGCACUAGCCAACACGUAGCCUACUUAAUGCACUCCAGACUGUGUAAAUUCAGUCACCACAAAAAGAGCGACAAGUUGGUAAUUAACAGCAUCCAUCCGUAAAGGAUGCUGACGGAAUCUACAGUCUGCUGGUGCACCGUACAAAAUAUACAGGAGCACAUACCUACACAGUUUGGCCCAAAUGCUGAAAAGCUCCACAUCUUUCGGGAAACGGAAGAACUUGCAGGUAUCCCUUUCGGAUUGGUGGUUGCAGUCGGGAACGAAACACUGACCCAUGGUGCUGUGCGUUUCGAGAUUUGAAAUGCAGUUGCAACUACAGUGUGUAACCAGCGAAAGCAGCAAACGUUUUGUGUAGAUCCGUGGUGUUCGUUACCUGGCGACGUGACGUCACUCUGUAUCAUUGAGAUUUUUGGGGAUUCUGUUCGCGCUUCUCUGAAUAAACUGCCGUCUCGCACACUAUCUUGGUAUUGAA